UUACGUCCCUGGAGAUCCAUAAUUGAUUAGUUUAGUUUGUGUCACUUUGUGUUACUUAGUGCUCUGAGAACCUGUUUUUGGCUUCGGUGAAGUAUUGUGGCUACCACGGUUGUGACUAUUAUUUCUGAUACACUUCGCUGGUUUUCGUUUCUGAAACGCUGGUUUUCAUUUAACGGAACCUACCAACAAGGUUACCCAGGACCUCUUGCUUCAGGAUACUUUUGCUAUAAGGAAUUUAAAUUCUGCGAACGUCCGUGGUGAAGUAUUUAACACUUAUCAAGAUUACCGGAUAAGAAAUUUAGUAUUUCUGUAAACGUCCCAGGUUGAAGUAUUUAAUAAGCAACUGAAGCUGCAUGAUCAAGGCACCGUGGACUACUACUUGAAACUGUGAAUAGUUUUCUGCCAACUUUUCGUCCACCAGUUUCAAGGUUCUUGUCAGUUUCGAGGUUUUGGUAAUCACUGGAUUGGGAAGUUUUCCAAGUGAUAAAAUGUUCAGUGUAGAAAGUUUCACUAGUGAAGUUCCUAUGUUUUAACUGUUUGAGUGUUUUAUUAAGUUUCAUGCUUAAAAAGUUGUUUAAAGCUUUCAAUAUGGUUGCUAAAUGUAUUUAAAGUUUAAUUCGGUGGAGCUUCUAAGUUUUAAUUUUUUUUUAUACUUAAUGUACUACUGUUUAUGUGCUAUGUAAACUGCAGUCUUUGAUUUGUUACUGAUUUAGGUAAUAGGAUAUUUAUGUAUAUAUACCUAUUAAUAUACUCAUAAUCAUACAAUACUCAUAAUCAUAUGAC